GUAUCAGCAUAUGUCAUUUAAAUUUACAUUGCCGCAAAUUAUAGAAAUGUUUCAAAUAGAUUGGCAUGAAUAUAUUGAAAAAAUGAAAAGAGUAAUUACUUGUUGCUGUUAUACUUGUAGAAGUAUAUUAUGAUAUAUAUUGAUUAUAAAUUUUGCAUUGCAUUUAUAGCAAAUUGGUGGGAAAAUGUGGUCAUUAAAACGGCCAGUAGCAGUUUUUAUAAACAAUGAAUUUAUUGGUAGUGACAUGGAAUUUUUUCAUUAUAUAAGUGAAGAUUAUAUUUUUAGUUUACCUUUUGGAAUAGAAUAUUACGAAAAUAUUGCCAUAGAGCGUUGUAAGCAAUUUAUGGAAAAAUCUAAGAGAAUAUAUGUUUAUUUUACCUUUACUAUAAACAAUCAUAUAGCCGGCUCGUUCGUAUUUAUGUUAUAUUCUGAUUUAUUACCAUUAACUUGCCAACAUUUUUUAAACCUUUGUAAUGGGUAUGAUGAAGUGAAACAUUGUUAUAGAGAUGCUUAUUAUAUAAAUACACGUGUACAUCGUAUCGUUAAAAAUGGAUGGAUUCAAUGUGGAGAUGCUGAACUAUCUGAAAUCAGUGAAGAUAGAGCAGGUAAUGUACCUGUGAUACCUGAUGAGUCUUAUUGUAUUCCUCAUGAUCGUCGUGGAGUUCUUUCAAUGGCAAAUGAUGGGAAACAUUGUAAUCAAUUUCAAUUUAUUGUAUGCUUAAAGCCCAAUCCUUGGAUGAAUCAUUACUAUGUUGCCUUUGGAAACAUCAACCACCGUCAAGUAUUGAAGGAGAAGCUACAAGAAUUAUUAGUGACAAUAUGUUUGACUUUUAUUGUAUCACACCGUGGCUUGAUAAUAUUGUAGAUGUAAUAGAUGUCCGUGACACAGCAUCCCUCUUAAUGGUUGAACGAUAUUUAAGUGGUCUUUAUUGUCUUUCAACAGACUAUAUGCCAGAAUGUUUGAAACAUGUAUGCAAGAUGUAUUACCUUCAGAAAAUUGUUUGUUACUGCUGCAAAAUAUAUUGGACAAAGC